AUUGAACGCUGGCGGCAUGCUUUACACAUGCAAGUCGAACGGCAGCACGGGUGCUUGCACCUGGUGGCGAGUGGCGGACGGGUGAGUAAUACAUCGGAACGUGUCCAGAAGAGGGGGAUAACGCAUCGAAAGAUGUGCUAAUACCGCAUAUGCUCUGAGGAGGAAAGUAGGGGAUCGAAAGACCUUACGCUUUUGGAGCGGCCGAUGUCUGAUUAGCUAGUUGGUGGGGUAAGGGCCUACCAAGGCGACGAUCAGUAGUUGGUCUGAGAGGACGACCAGCCACACUGGAACUGAGACACGGUCCAGACUCCUACGGGAGGCAGCAGUGGGGAAUUUUGGACAAUGGGCGAAAGCCUGAUCCAGCCAUGCCGCGUGAGUGAAGAAGGCCU
rnacentral:rRNA from 1 species